UACGUAGGGGCAAGCGUUGUCCGGAUUUAUUGGGCGUAAGAGCGUGUAGGCGGCCAGACAGGUCCGUUGUGAAACUUGAGGCUCAACCUCGAGACGCCGAUGGAAACCGUCUGGCUAGAGUCCGGAAGAGGAGAGUGGAAUUCCGUGGGUGUAGCGGUGAAAUGCGCAGAUAUCAGGAAGAACACCCGUGGCGAAGGCGGCGUCUCUGGGACGGUACUGACGCUGAGACGCGAAAGCGUGGGGAGCGAACAGG
rnacentral:rRNA from 1 species